rnacentral:rRNA from 1 species
GGGUUGUGAGGUUAAGCGACUAAGCGUACACGGUGGAUGCCCUGGCAGUCAGAGGCGAUGAAGGACGUGCUAAUCUGCGAUAAGCGUCGGUAAGGUGAUAUGAACCGUUAUAACCGGCGAUUUCCGAAUGGGGAAACCCAGUGUGAUUCGUCACACUAUCAUUAACUGAAUCCAUAGGUUAAUGAGGCGAACCGGGGGAACUGAAACAUCUAAGUACCCCGAGGAAAAGAAAUCAACCGAGAUUCCCCCAGUAGCGGCGAGCGAACGGGGAGCAGCCCAGAGCCUGAAUCAGUGUGUGUGUUAGUGGAAGCGUCUGGAAAGGCGCGCGAUACAGGGUGACAGCCCCGUACACAAAAAUGCACAUGCUGUGAGCUCGAUGAGUAGGGCGGGACACGUGGUAUCCUGUCUGAAUAUGGGGGGACCAUCCUCCAAGGCUAAAUACUCCUGACUGACCGAUAGUGAACCAGUACCGUGAGGGAAAGGCGAAAAGAACCCCGGCGAGGGGAGUGAAAAAGAACCUGAAACCGUGUACGUACAAGCAGUGGGAGCACAGAGCAAUCUGUGUGACUGCGUACCUUUUGUAUAAUGGGUCAGCGACUUAUAUUCUGUAGCAAGGUUAACCGAAUAGGGGAGCCGAAGGGAAACCGAGUCUUAACUGGGCGUUAAGUUGCAGGGUAUAGACCCGAAACCCGGUGAUCUAGCCAUGGGCAGGUUGAAGGUUGGGUAACACUAACUGGAGGACCGAACCGACUAAUGUUGAAAAAUUAGCGGAUGACUUGUGGCUGGGGGUGAAAGGCCAAUCAAACCGGGAGAUAGCUGGUUCUCCCCGAAAGCUAUUUAGGUAGCGCCUCGUGAAUUCAUCUCCGGGGGUAGAGCACUGUUUCGGCAAGGGGGUCAUCCCGACUUACCAACCCGAUGCAAACUGCGAAUACCGGAGAAUGUUAUCACGGGAGACACACGGCGGGUGCUAACGUCCGUCGUGAAGAGGGAAACAACCCAGACCGCCAGCUAAGGUCCCAAAGUCAUGGUUAAGUGGGAAACGAUGUGGGAAGGCCCAGACAGCCAGGAUGUUGGCUUAGAAGCAGCCAUCAUUUAAAGAAAGCGUAAUAGCUCACUGGUCGAGUCGGCCUGCGCGGAAGAUGUAACGGGGCUAAACCAUGCACCGAAGCUGCGGCAGCGACACUAUGUGUUGUUGGGUAGGGGAGCGUUCUGUAAGCCUGUGAAGGUGUACUGUGAGGUAUGCUGGAGGUAUCAGAAGUGCGAAUGCUGACAUAAGUAACGAUAAAGCGGGUGAAAAGCCCGCUCGCCGGAAGACCAAGGGUUCCUGUCCAACGUUAAUCGGGGCAGGGUGAGUCGACCCCUAAGGCGAGGCCGAAAGGCGUAGUCGAUGGGAAACAGGUUAAUAUUCCUGUACUUGGUGUUACUGCGAAGGGGGGACGGAGAAGGCUAUGUUGGCCGGGCGACGGUUGUCCCGGUUUAAGCGUGUAGGCUGGUUUUCCAGGCAAAUCCGGAAAAUCAAGGCUGAGGCGUGAUGACGAGGCACUACGGUGCUGAAGCAACAAAUGCCCUGCUUCCAGGAAAAGCCUCUAAGCAUCAGGUAACAUCAAAUCGUACCCCAAACCGACACAGGUGGUCAGGUAGAGAAUACCAAGGCGCUUGAGAGAACUCGGGUGAAGGAACUAGGCAAAAUGGUGCCGUAACUUCGGGAGAAGGCACGCUGAUAUGUAGGUGAAGUCCCUCGCGGAUGGAGCUGAAAUCAGUCGAAGAUACCAGCUGGCUGCAACUGUUUAUUAAAAACACAGCACUGUGCAAACACGAAAGUGGACGUAUACGGUGUGACGCCUGCCCGGUGCCGGAAGGUUAAUUGAUGGGGUCAGCGCAAGCGAAGCUCUUGAUCGAAGCCCCGGUAAACGGCGGCCGUAACUAUAACGGUCCUAAGGUAGCGAAAUUCCUUGUCGGGUAAGUUCCGACCUGCACGAAUGGCGUAAUGAUGGCCAGGCUGUCUCCACCCGAGACUCAGUGAAAUUGAACUCGCUGUGAAGAUGCAGUGUACCCGCGGCAAGACGGAAAGACCCCGUGAACCUUUACUAUAGCUUGACACUGAACAUUGAGCCUUGAUGUGUAGGAUAGGUGGGAGGCUUUGAAGUGUGGACGCCAGUCUGCAUGGAGCCGACCUUGAAAUACCACCCUUUAAUGUUUGAUGUUCUAACGUGGACCCGUAAUCCGGGUUGCGGACAGUGUCUGGUGGGUAGUUUGACUGGGGCGGUCUCCUCCUAAAGAGUAACGGAGGAGCACGAAGGUUGGCUAAUCCUGGUCGGACAUCAGGAGGUUAGUGCAAUGGCAUAAGCCAGCUUGACUGCGAGCGUGACGGCGCGAGCAGGUGCGAAAGCAGGUCAUAGUGAUCCGGUGGUUCUGAAUGGAAGGGCCAUCGCUCAACGGAUAAAAGGUACUCCGGGGAUAACAGGCUGAUACCGCCCAAGAGUUCAUAUCGACGGCGGUGUUUGGCACCUCGAUGUCGGCUCAUCACAUCCUGGGGCUGAAGUAGGUCCCAAGGGUAUGGCUGUUCGCCAUUUAAAGUGGUACGCGAGCUGGGUUUAGAACGUCGUGAGACAGUUCGGUCCCUAUCUGCCGUGGGCGCUGGAGAACUGAGGGGGGCUGCUCCUAGUACGAGAGGACCGGAGUGGACGCAUCACUGGUGUUCGGGUUGUCAUGCCAAUGGCACUGCCCGGUAGCUAAAUGCGGAAGAGAUAAGUGCUGAAAGCAUCUAAGCACGAAACUUGCCCCGAGAUGAGUUCUCCCUGACUCCUUGAGAGUCCUGAAGGAACGUUGAAGACGACGACGUUGAUAGGCCGGGUGUGUAAGCGCAGCGAUGCGUUGAGCUAACCGGUACUAAUGAACCGUGAGGCUUAACCUUACAACG